UUGUUUUUUUCUGUUUCUUGACAGACUUACAUUUUCAAAAGCAUAUUUGUGGAGCUGCAUCAGGGAUGUAUAAAGAUGUAAAAGAAGAUCAUAUCGCUUUAAUCUUCCUGUAUCUUAAUAAUCACCCAUACCUCUUUCAUUAAUUCUGUUAUUACAGUCACAUAGCCACAGGAAUGCCAUUGGCCUGUUUGCAUCAAUCAGGGCCCUUCCUGCCAUGUAAAGCCUCCAGCUGGCAGAGGUUAAAAUUGAAGUGAUGAACAUUACCAAAUGAAGUUUCCAUCCCGAGACUGAAACAGCUAGUUAACUGUUAAUCAGCAGGUUAAGAUGAGAAGCUUCACACCAAUGUCUGGCCAUGACUGCGAAUAUUUUACAUACUGAGUUUUGUUCUUAAAGCACUGUACGCUCCUUCAUUAGACACCGAAUGACUGUCUUCCUGUCAUCUCGAAAUUCACUUCUUUCAGAUAUUGUUAAGUGAUAAUUUAGUUGAGCUUGUCUGUUGACUUUACAUAUACAGCUUGAUCACUGUUCCCUCUAAGCUGUGCGUGUGCGCAAUUGCGCACUGCUGACACGGUCUCCGCGCACAGAAAAUCUGCGCUGCGCACAAAAAAAAAAAAAAAAUCCAACCUAAAUUGUAAAUAAAAUAAACACGUAACAAUUCAUUCUGUUCUAUUUUUCAAUGUGAGUCAGUGAGUGACCGGUGACUGGCUGCUGCAGCCAAUGAUGCGAUUCACAUACGUAUUUACCAUAGACUGUAUAUAAUGGUAUUUACGCAGCUAAUCAACGUUAGUGGUGUAAACAAUGGCAAACUUCUUUUUCUCUAGUUUAGUACCAGAGUAGACCAGGUAGACGUGUGUUUGAGCUACACUGCCCCCUGCAGUUUGGAAGCAGACUUCUUCUUCUCUAGUUUAUUACUGGAGUAGACCAGGUAGACGUGUGUUUGAGAUACACUGCCCCCUGCAGUUUGGGAGCAGAUGCGCACGGAGUAUAAAUGCACACACGUUCUUUCGCACGGAUUUCCGUGCGGCUGAUUUCCGCCCGGCUCGUUCGUGCGGAAAGUAUAUUCCAGCCUUUAGGCGCCCUUAUGUGCAGCCACCGUUGUUCUCAUAGAUAUGAAUGAGUAGAUAGGACACGCCCCUUUGAGCUGCGUGCUACAGCGAGGCUAAGCUAGUGGGGGCAAAGUUUCAGUGCAUUCCGUUGAUGUAGGCGGCGUGAAAACGGAAACAACAAGUAUGCCGGCUCACUGUGCUGCAUACAAUUACACACUACGUCAUAGGAUUGAGACAAGGAAACUUGGAAUGACUUUUCAUAGGUUUCCCAGAGACUAUGGGUUGAGGAGGAAGUGAAAGUUUGUCGGCUUAGACCUGGUGUCAUUCCAUCAGUGUUAAACUUCCCGGCUCAUCUUGGAAGAGUACGUGCCAGAAAGACCACGACCAAGCAGCCUUGAGAUCUUAGACAGCGUCUCCCUGAGGUCCCUCUCUAUCUCCCCACACAUCCACCAACCACUGGAACACAUCUCCAAAGUUCUGCCGGGCCAGCUCAGCUUCCCCUCAGAAGAAGUGCUGCCACCUGCCAGAUGAAGGAGCCUUUUGAGAGGCAGCUGGCAUCGUGAUUGGACUGUACUUUGGUCUGUUCCAAUCCAGCUUCAGCUCCAGAGACGGCAGGCGGGACGAGUCAACGGAGGCCGGGUGGACGAAGGCAUGCAGUGCAGCUGAGUACAAUCCAGAAAACAACAGAGGAGGAGUGCAGCGGCGCAGGGCCAGAACAAGCAGAGUAGCAUCGUAUGUCUCUUAGAAAACAUCAUAGUAUCGCCUUUGGUAUGAAAAAACGCCAUCAUAUACAUCGUAUAUUGUACAAAUAACAAGUCAAAGCAAAGCGACAUACAUUGUAGAAUUGUAGUAAUUGUGGGCUGACUGAUUUACUGAUUAUCAGCAUUUUAUUUUUACUGAUUUACGUUAAUAAAUACAUUUAAAAAUGGUG